ncrna:Enterococcus hirae ATCC 9790 DTF1646 RNA
GGUUGGGCAUAAUGCUUCAAGGAUCGCGUUCUUCAAGGGGUGAGAAGAAC